rnacentral:rRNA from 1 species
AAGGCGCGAAAGCGUGGGGAGCAAACAGGAUUAGAUACCCUGGUAGUCCACGCCCUAAACGAUGUAUGCUAGUUGUUGGGAUGCUAGUCAUCUCAGUAAUGCAGCUAACGCAUUAAGCAUACCGCCUGGGGAGUACGGUCGCAAGAUUAAAACUCAAAGGAAUAGACGGGGACCCGCACAAGCGGUGGAGCAUGUGGUUUAAUUCGAAGAUACGCGAAGAACCUUACCUGGGCUUGAUAUCCUAAGAACCUUAUAGAGAUAUGAGGGUGCUAGCUUGCUAGAACUUAGAGACAGGUGCUGCACGGCUGUCGUCAGCUCGUGUCGUGAGAUGUUGGGUUAAGUCCCGCAACGAGCGCAACCCACGUAUUUAGUUGCUAACGGUUCGGCCGAGCACUCUAAAUAGACUGCCUUCGUAAGGAGGAGGAAGGUGUGGACGACGUCAAGUCAUCAUGGCCCUUAUGCCCAGGGCGACACACGUGCUACAAUGGCAUAUACAAUGAGACGCAAUACCGCGAGGUGGAGCAAAUCUAUAAAAUAUGUCCCAGUUCGGAUUGUUCUCUGCAACUCGAGAGCAUGAAGCCGGAAUCGCUAGUAAUCGUAGAUCAGCCAUGCUACGGUGAAUACGUUCCCGGGUCUUGUACUCACCGCCCGUCACACCAUGGGAGUUGAUUUCACUCGAAGCCGGAAUACUAAACUAGUUACCGUCCACAGUGGAAUCAGCGACUGGGGUGAAGUCGUAACAAGGUAACCGUAGGAGAACCUGCGGUUGGAUCACCUCCUUUCUA